AGGUGGUCAUCUUAAUUAGACUGCAAAAAGUCUUGUUUAAAUAUCAUAAUUUCGAUGAAAAACUACAUUUUCAACUCAUCAAAUCAACUUAAUGACCCAUUUUUCUGUGUUGCAUGAUCUUUAAUACUCCACAAUGAAAAGUAAGGUAAGCUAAAUGCUUUUCAAGAUGUAAAUGUGUUUACAAGUGAACUCUAAAUUAAUAACCAUUUACUUGCCAAUGCUUCAUGCAUUGGAUCACCUUUAUACCAUAAAACAUCAAGUAAUCCGAUUACGAAAAACGACCAGGUUUUAGGAAUUCUGAUAAUCCAGCAGAGCAUGUUAUCAUUUGAAAGAAGUUGUUAUACAUUCCAAUUCUAAUCAACAGUUUCUCUAUAAUGUGUCAAAAAAAAGUGAUUCGCUAGCCCCCAGUGCCCCUGCCAACCCGUCUCUAAAUCAACACAGAAGUAGUAAAUCACGGAUGACUAUUAGCCAUUAGUGCAGAUGGCCAAGACAUGAGGGAAGGCAUACUCAGACAUGUGGCAACACCUCAUGUAUUUACCACAAGACCCAUCCGAGGGGACCUCAACAAUUUCUCUAUAAUAACCCAAUGAGAAGUGGUUCAUCUAUCAAUCAUUAUUUAAACAUUUCAAAAAAAGGCCUCCUAUAAUGUCAUUCCUUCUAACCUAAUAUUCUAUAUAAAACUUUCUAGAUUAAAAGUUAAUUUUGGUUGGUUCCUUGCUAAUCAUUUGGCUUAAAAAAAUAAAUAAAAUAAAAAUAAUCUAUUUUUUACAACCAAAAAUUGAUACAGGUAACAACAAUGAACAUAGCAACUUAUUGAAUGAAUGCAACUAUUGGAGAUCAACAACAUUCUAGAUACACCUUGGCUCAGUGUAAAUUUCUUUCCUUUUUCUUUUCCUUUUUGAAGGGGAGGAAAGAAGCCUACCAAUUUGCAUUAGUAAUAAGGAUAAAACAUAGGCAUAUAAGAAAGCAUAUGAAAGUAUGAGGAAAAAAACGAACAUAAUAAGAGUUAAGAGCUGGACUUAGAUGCUAUCUGAGGAGAUAGCUUGAUAUGCAAAGCUAUCCAUUGGAAUCACAAACAAGCAUCGAUCAAGGAGAGGUUUAAUUGGUUUCAUAGCCAGGCGUCUUGGCUAGCUAGUGUGGACUUAGGCUCACAUUAAAUAACAACAACAACAAAAAACAAGUCUGUAUAAACGCAAGGGAGGAAAACAAACAAGAAAUAAAUUAAUAGUGUAGGCAUGUCGAUGGAGACUAAGUCAUAAACCUUUAAGAAACCAUGGCUUGUGUUCAGAGGGGGGUUCUGUGCACCAAGGCAACGAAGUGGCAAAGAACAAGAUCUAGUCCCACAAAAGGUGACAGGCCUUCAAGGAGUGGGGCAAUUCUACAGGUCAGGUCAGAGUUAGUCCACUACGGAGAACAAUUCGAUCUCUUCUUACAACUACCAAUAACCAAUCACAUGCUCGACGAUAAUCUAUAAAGGCAAAAAAUUUAGGGCGAAAUCACAUAACAUAAGUAAAAGAAAAACUCAUCUAAUAAGGAACAGGAUCUACCAUGCUUAUGGCCGGAUCCUUUCUCAAGGGUAUGGCAGUGAGCGCACUUGGCCCUGAAGAUCUUCUCCCCCGCCCUUGCAUUCCCAGGAGGCACCUCGCCGAAGGUCGCCAUCUCGCGAGCAAACACUAGAC